rnacentral:misc_RNA from 1 species
AGGAAAUAUGCCUGGAAGUUUAGAGCCUUUGGAUUUAAGUGUUCAGAUACCUUAUCAUUUCAGGUGUCCGAUCUCGCUUGAGCUCAUGCGUGACCCUGUCACCGUUAGUACCGGUCAGACCUACGACCGCUCCAGUAUCGAAUCUUGGGUUGCUACCGGUAACACUACUUGUCCGGUCACUCGGUCUCCUCUCACCGAUUUCACUCUCAUCCCUAACCAUACUCUUCGCCGGUUAAUCCAGGACUGGUGUGUCGCUAACCGUGCUUUUGGUAUUGAACGCAUCCCCACCCCGAAACAGCCGGCGGAGCCCAGUUUGGUUAGGUCUUUGUUGAACCAGGCUGCGUCUGAGUCUAAUCCUUAUCAGUCUCGUCUCUCUGCUCUCCGUCGACUCAGAGGACUCGCUCGUGACUCGGAUAAGAACAGGUCUGUUAUUUCUUCUCAUAACGCACGAGAAAUAUUCGUUAACCUUCUUUUUGAGAACGUUGCGAAUUCUAAUUCGACGGAUUUGAACCACGAGGCUUUGGCACUUCUGGUUAUGUUUCCGCUCACUGAGUCAGAGUGUGUGUGCAUAGCUUCAGACUCGGAGAGAAUGAUCUACUUAGCGAAUCUCUUGUCUAAUUCAUCAAUCGAAGUCCGAGUCAACUCGGCUGCACUCAUUGAAAUCGUGGUUGCCGGAACAAAAUCCUCAGAUCUUCGCGCUCAAAUCAGCAACGUAGACGAAAUCUUCGAAGGAGUAAUUGAAAUGCUAAAGAACCCUAUCUCUUAUCCUCGUGCUCUCAAGAUUGGCAUAAAAGCACUAUUCGCCUUGUGCCUCGCGAAGCAGACCAGGCAUAGAGCUGUAGCUGCCGGAGCGGCGAACGUUCUAAUCGAUAGACUGGCCGAUUUCGACAAAUGCGACGCGGAGAGAGCGUUAGCCACCAUAGAGCUGCUGUGCAGAGUGCCAGCUGGGUGCGAGGCGUUUGCGGGGCACGCGCUGACGGUGCCGUUGCUAGUGAAGACGAUAUUGAAAAUAUCUGACAGGGCAACAGAGUACGCAGCGGGAACGUUGCUAGCUCUGUGCACGGCGUCGGAGCAGAGCCAAAGGGAGGCGGUGAGCGCUGGGAUAUUAACACAGCUGUUGUUACUGGUACAGAGUGACUGUACGGAUAGGGCAAAGAGGAAGGCGCAGAUGUUGCUAAAAUUGCUUCGGGACUCGUGGCCUGAGGAAUCCUCGGGGAAUUCCGAUGAUUUUGUUUGCAGUGAGGUCGUACCAUUUUGAUGGGUAGAUCAUCCUUGUUGAUGCUCUCUUCUUUUCUUUUUCUUUUUUCUUUUUAAUUUUUCUAAUUUUUAGUUUUUUAAAAAAAGUAGAAAAAUGGAAAUUGAGUUCUAGAUCGGUACAUAGGGAGAGGGACAGAUUGUAAUUCUGUAUGUAAUUUUUUAUGUAAGAAUUUUUGCGAAGAAAGAUUUUAAGGAAACUUGAAAAGCAAACGAAAAGUUAGUUAUGUUGUUAAAA